AGAGUUUGAUCAUGGCUCAGAAUCAACGCUGGCGGCGCGCUUAACACAUGCAAGUCGCACGAGAAAGUGGAGCAAUCCAUGAGUAAAGUGGCGUACGGGUGAGUAACACGUGGGUAAUCUACCUCUUAGUGGGGAAUAACCCUGGGAAACCGGGGCUAAUACCGCAUAAGCUCGAGAGAGGAAAGCAGCAAUGCGCUGAGAGAGGAGCCCGCGGCCGAUUAGCUAGUUGGCAGGGUAAGAGCCUACCAAGGCAUAGAUCGGUAGCCGGCCUGAGAGGGCACACGGCCACACUGGCACUGAAACACGGGCCAGACUCCUACGGGAGGCAGCAGUGGGGAAUCUUGCACAAUGGGGGAAACCCUGAUGCAGCGACGCCGCGUGAGCGAUGAAGCCCUUCGGGGUGUAAAGCUCUUUCGGCAGGGAAGAUUAUGACGGUACCUGCAGAAGCAGCUGCGGCUAACUACGUGCCAGCAGCCGCGGUAAUACGUAGGCAGCGAGCGUUGUUCGGAGUUACUGGGCGUAAAGGGUGUGUGGGCGGUUCUUUAAGUUUGGUGUGAAAUCUCCCGGCUCAACCGGGAGGGUGCGCCGAAUACUGAGGGACUUGGAGUGCGGGAGAGGAAAGUGGAAUUCCUGGUGUAGCGGUGAAAUGCGUAGAUAUCAGGAGGAACACCGGUGGUGUAGACGGCUUUCUGGACCGUAACUGACGCUGAGACACGAAAGCGUGGGUAGCAAACAGGAUUAGAUACCCUAGUAGUCC
rnacentral:rRNA from 1 species